UGACCUUGGAUUAGGUAGGAAUACUUAUUGAAUUUAAGUAUAUUAAUAAGUAGAGAAAAAGAAAUUAAUAGGGAUUGUCCUAGUAAUGGUGAGUAAAGUAGUAAUAGUUUAAAUUUGAAAUCUAGCUUCGGUCCGAAUUGUAAUUUAUAGAAGAAGCUUUUAGUAAAGCACCUUUUGAAUUCCUUAGAAUAGGGCGCUAUAGAGGGUAAGAGUUUUAUAUAGUUGGAUGUUGAUUUAAUGUAAAGUUCCUUCGAUAAGUUGAGUAGUUUGGGAAUAUUAUUUAAAAUAGGAGGUAAAUUUCUUUUAAAGUUAAAUAUUGGUUAGAGAUUGAUAGUAUAUAAGUAGAGUAAUUGAAAAAUGAAAAGUAUUUUAAAAAGAGGGUUAAAUAGUAUAUAAAAUUAUUAAAAGGAAAGCGUUUGUAAUUAGAUUUACACUAUUCCGAUUAUCUGGUAUUCUUAUUAGUAUAUUUAGGAUAAUUUAAGUUAGUAUUAGUUUUGGUAGGGGGAUAAAAGUUUAGGGAAUAUAGCUCCUUUGGGAGUAUUAUAGUUUUGGGUGUAAUGUUUUCGCUAGGAUUGAGGUUUGUGUAUUUAUAAGGAUAUUAGUAUAAUAGUUAUUAACAAUCUAUUUUGAAAUAUAAAUUAAGGAAUUAAAGUUUUAUAUAAGUAUUUAGGUAUAAAACCUAUACGUAUAAUGAAAGUGAAUAUAAGUGAGAGUUUCGGUAUAUUAUUGACCGAUUUUAAUAUAUUUAGAUGGAUUUAAGUAAGAGUAUUAAACUUUGGAUUUGAAAAAUAGUAAAUUAUAUUUAAAUAGAAUAAAGUUAGAGGAAAUUUUAGUAGAGGUUUGUAACGGUUUUAAUAUAUAAAUUAAUUAUUAAAUUUAAGUAUAGGGGCGAAAGAUUAAUUGAACUAUUUAGUAGUUAGUUACCGCCGAAGUUUCCUUUAGGAUAAUAAUAUUAUUCUUUAGUUUUAUAAGGUAAAGCGAAUAAUUAGGGAUUCGGGGGCGUUUUUUAGCUUUUAUUUAUUUUUAAACUUUAAAUAUAUAAGAAGCCUUUAUUAUUUAAUUGAACGUAGGUAUUCGAAUAUACUAAUAUUAGUAGGCUAUUUUUAGUAAAUAGAAUUAGUAAUGUAGGAUAAAUUAAAUACGGGGUUAAAGUAUUAGAGUAGAUGUUUAUUAGAUAUUAUAAAAGGCGUUAAUAUAUUUUAAUAGUAGGAUAGUAGCUAUAGAAGUUGGAAUUUACUAAAGAUUAUAUAAUAAUUUAUUUACCGAAUAUAUUAGCCUUAAAAAUAGAUAGCACUUAAGUAUCCUAUUUAUACCCCGCCCUUAGGGUAGAAAUAAUACUUUAAAGAGUAAGUAGCUAUAGAGGUUAGUAAUGAAGCUUAGGGCGUGAAUUUAGGUCGAACGGCCUCUAGUAUAGAUUUUAGUAGUAAUAGUAAAUAUUUUAAUAAGAAUUUAAAGGAUUGAAGUGGGGAAAGGUUCUAUAUAAAUAGCGGUUGGAUAUAAGUUAAUCGAUCUUAAACUAUAGGGAAGUUCCGUUUUAAAGGGGUAUUUAUAUUCCGUAUAGUAAAAGGGAAGUUGGUUAAUAUUCCAGUAUUUAAAUAUAGGUUUUAUAUAGUAACGUAAUUAAAUAUAAAGAUAAUAGCGGGGGCCCCGGGUAGAAUUCUUUUUUCUUCUUAACAGUCUAUUACUUUAAAAAUAGUUUAUUUGGAAAUAGGGUUUAAUAGCCGGAAGAGCCCGAUAUUUUUAUUAGGUCCGGUACAUUUUUAAUAUCCUUUAAAAAUCCGCGGGAGGGAAUAAUUCUUACGUUAGGUUGUAUUUAUAAUUAUAGUAGGUUUCUAAGGUAAAUAAUUUUUAGUUAAUAGAAUAAUAUAAAUAAGGGAAGUUAGUAAAAUAGAUUUAUAAUUUCGGGAAAAGGAUUAGUUCUAAGGGUUAAGUAUAUUAGGCUUUAGGUAGAUACCUUAGGAAUAGAUUACUAUUAGUUGGGUAAUUAGCCGGCGGUUUUUAGUAUCCGGAUAUAGAAGUUUUUAAUAGACUUCGGUCGUCCGGCAUACGUUUAAUAAUUAAUUUAAAAUUAGUAUAAAUAAGGGGAAUUUAAUUAUUUAAUUAAAAUAUAGUAUUACAAUAGUUAGAAAGUGGUAUUAAUAUAAUAUGAUUUUUAUUUAGUAUUUUGAAUAUUAAAGUAAAGAAAUUUAAUUAAGUGCGGGUAAACGGCGGGAGUAAUUAUAAUUUUCUUAAAGUAGUUAAAUAUUUUAUUAUUUAAUUAGUAAUAUAUAUAAAUAGAUUAAUAAGAUUCCUAUUAUCCCUAUCUACUAUUUAGCGAAACUAUAGUUAAGGGAACGGGUUUGGUAGAAUUAGUAGAGAAAGAAGACUUUAUUGAGUUUAAUUCUAGUUUAAUAUUGUAAAAAGAUAUAGGAGGUAUAGAAUAAGUAGGAGCUUUAGCGCUAGUAAAAUACUAUUAUUCCUAUUGUUUUUUUAUUUAUUUAAUUAAACGGGGCUGGAUUUUCGUUUAACUUCUAGUUUUAAGGUCCUUCGCGGGCCGACCCGGAUUAAAGAUAUUAUUAGGUAGGGAGUUUGGCUGGGGCGGUAUAUUUAUUAAAUUAUAAUAUAGGUGUUUUAAGGGGGGUUUAUAGAGAAUAGAAAUUUUUAGUAGAAUAAAAGGGUAAAAGUCCCUUUAAUUUUAAUUUUUAGUAUGAAUACAAACUAUAAAAAUAUAGCUUAUUAAUCCUUUAAUCCCUCGAAAUUUAAAAUUAGAGGUACUAGAAAAGUUAUUAUAGGGAUAAUUGGUUUGUAGUAAUUAAACAUUUAUAGCGAUAUUGUUUUUUAAUCCUUUAAUAUUAGUUUUUCCUAUUAUAUUAAAGUAGAAUUCGGUAAGCGUUAGAUUAUUUACUUAUUAAUAGGGAAUGUGAAUUGGGUUUAAAUUAUUAUAAGAUAGGUUAGUUUUACCCUAUUAAUAACUUUAUUAUAAUAGUAAUUAAAUUUAGUAUAAAAGGAACUGCUUAUUUAAAUAAUUGGUUUUUGCAGUUAUUCGAUUAGGUAGUACUAUAACGCUACUAUUUGUUGGAUAAUAAUUAAACGCUUCUAAGUUAGAAUCUAUAUUAGAAUACAAUAAUACUUUUAAUAUAUUAUAGAUAUAUAAGAAUAGGCUCCGGCUUCGUAUUUUAAUAAGCGAUUCCUCUAUUGGCUUUGAAGUAGCUAAUAGUAAUUUGUAUAUUGUAAUUUUAAUAUAUAUUAAAUUAAAUCCUUUAUAAACGAUUUAGAUGUAUAAAAGGGUUUUAUAAGUAGUAGAAUAGCUUUAUUAUUAUAAUUUACUAAGAGUAAGCCCUCCUUCGUUUAAAUUUUC
rfam:Neurospora crassa OR74A unplaced genomic scaffold supercont12.8, whole genome shotgun sequence.